GGAGCAUGGAUUCGUCUUCGGCGUGCUCCGGCUGGCGUCGGAAGUAGUUCCGGCUUCUCAUCAGCGGAGCUCCGAGCGCCCCGAAGAGCCCGGAUCUUCUGCUGCCGAGCUUUAAACGUGAACAGCGGGUCGAGUCUUUCCGUCACGAGCGUCGAAUGACCAACGAGCCAGCGGUCAGUUCAGUUCGACUCCAGCGGAGCUCCGACCCCCUCAGCCCGGGUGACACGCGCAGAGGAACCGGGGGAGACCUUUUGUCUUCGAGGGGGAUUUUUCAAGUGCAUAAUCAUCAGGCGACGGAAUACAAAACCCCAGAGCCGGUUCAUAUUCAUAUACCCGACGCUUGAAUGGAGAAAGCGUCGGCGUCUGGGCUCUGUUGUUGAAGGACACGCAAAGCAGCAGCCAUAGCGGUGGCUAAAUGAAGAUUUUGUGAACAUGCACGAGGAGAGGACUCCACCUUUCUCUUCACUGACUUCCCUAGAUGCUUUGGCCAAAGGAAAGAUGGAAAGAAAUGCGAAGAGUAAGCCACUUCACUCAUACCUUACCCCCUACACCACAAUGCUAAUGAAUGUAUAAUUAUCGCCGUUUUGAAUCCCCAUAGCUCACCGAGGAGACACGAUUUAUGCAGUGUUAAAGACUUAAGUGAUUAAAAUGCCAAAAUGUUUAUCUUCUGUUCUACGAAGCUAGGCCGUAUGUGGAAAAUAAUGUGCAACUUGACAUUCGUGUGUCGGUGCCAAGUUUGGUUUCUGCUCCAG